rnacentral:lncRNA from 1 species
AUGGUCUCCUUGACUGUGCUCACCAUCUUUUUCAUUUCCCUAUCUAGCAUCUGUUUGGGAACUCCAUAUGUUCCUGACCUACUUCAUAAAUGGAGAUGUCCCUAUACCAACCACUCCUUCCUUUCUGUUUGGGGAAAAGAUGAAAACACUGUCUGCUGCUUUUCCUAUAUUGGAAGGAUUCCCAGAACAGUUCUGAUUAACUAUAAGUAUACCAGCCAGUCAUGUCCUACACCAGGAGUCAUCUUCUUCACCAGGAGGGGCCAUCACCAGAUCUGUGCCAACCCCGAAGAACAGUGGGUCCAGAAUAUGGUGUCUUCCCUACCUCCGAAGAAAGAGUCUGAGGAAUAUGAACACUUGGAAUUUUAUCCAUAGGAGAAUAGAAUAAAACUGUAUUGGACUUAUUAAGGCA